rnacentral:rRNA from 1 species
UACGAAGGGGGCUAGCGUUGCUCGGAAUCACUGGGCGUAAAGGGUGCGUAGGCGGGUUUUUAAGUCAGAGGUGAAAUCCUGGAGCUCAACUCCAGAACUGCCUUUGAUACUGAAAGUCUUGAGUAUGGGAGAAGUGAGUGGAACUGCGAGUGUAGAGGUGAAAUUCGUAGAUAUUCGCAAGAACACCAGUGGCGAAGGCGGCUCACUGGCCCAUUACUGACGCUGAGGCACGAAAGCGUGGGGAGCAAACAGG